rnacentral:rRNA from 1 species
UACGAAGGGGACUAGCGUUGUUCGGAAUCAUUGGGCGUAAAGCGCGUGUAGGCGGUCCGGUAAGUCCGCUGUGAAAGUCGGGGGCUCAACCCUCGGAUGCCGGUGGAUACUGUCGGGCUUGAGUACGGAAGAGGCGAGUGGAAUUCCUGGUGUAGCGGUGAAAUGCGCAGAUAUCAGGAGGAACACCAAUUGCGAAGGCAGCUCGCUGGGACGUUACUGACGCUGAGACGCGAAAGCGUGGGGAGCAAACAGG